ensembl:snRNA U6 U6 spliceosomal RNA
GUGCUCGCUUCGGCAGCAUAUAUGCUAAAAUUGGAACGAUACAGAGAUUAGCAUGGUCCCUGCGCAAGGAUGGUACGCAAAUUCGUGAAGCGUUCCAUAUAAAA